rnacentral:rRNA from 1 species
UACGAAGGGGACUAGCGUUGUUCGGAAUCACUGGGCGUAAAGCGCACGUAGGCGGAUAUGUCAGUCAGGGGUGAAAUCCCGGGGCUCAACCUCGGAACUGCCUUUGAUACAGCAUAUCUUGAGUCCGAUAGAGGUGGGUGGAAUUCCUAGUGUAGAGGUGAAAUUCGUAGAUAUUAGGAAGAACACCGGUGGCGAAGGCGGCCCACUGGAUCGGUACUGACGCUGAGGUGCAAAAGCGUGGGGAGCAAACAGG